GACGAACGCUGGCGGCGUGCUUAACACAUGCAAGUCGAACGGAAAGGCCCGCACCUUGGUGGUGGUGCUUGAGUGGCGAACGGGUGAGUAACACGUGGGUGACCUGCCCUGUACUUUGGGAUAAGCUUGGGAAACUGGGUCUAAUACCGGAUAGGACCAUGGUUUAGUGUCUCCUUGUGGAAAAAUAUUUUUUUGGUGCAGGAUGAGCUCGCGGCCUAUUAGUUUGUUGGUGGGGUAAUGGCCCACCAAGGCGUCGACGGGUGGCCGGACUGAGCGGGUGGACAGACAGAGAGGGAGAGAGGGACGGGACACACACGUAAGGGAGGAGGCGGGAGGGAAGAAUACAGAGUGGAAGCAAGACUGAGGCAGCGAGGCCGCGUGAGGAAGGACUGCGUUCGGGUAGUAAACUCCUUUCGUUAGGAACGAAGGCAGACCUUUAUUGGGUGUGGUGACGGGAACUUUAUUAAGAAGUACCGGCUAACUACGUG
rnacentral:rRNA from 1 species